rnacentral:misc_RNA from 1 species
GUAGGGUUUUGAUGCCAUCAUUAUUCUUUUAUUCUUUGCUAUCAUUCUCAAUCCUUAAGUGUCCUCUUAGGACAUAAGGUAAGUCUUCUUCUCAUCUAGGAUUCAUUUUAGUUUGGGAGCAAGAUUUUAAUUUUUCUAGUGCCUUAUGGUUUGUCGUCGAGGGUUUUGCUAGAUGAAGAUCGAUCUCUCUUAUAUAGGGUUUUCUUUGGAGAAUUGGGGUUUCUUAUUUGUUCUUGAAUCUCAUUAUUUGGUCACCAUUUCUGGAGGAGUUUUAUUUUUGCAAUUGCGUUUUCUGUGAUCUUGAAAAAGUUUGUUUCUAAAGAGAUCAUCCAUUCAGUUUUUCACUUUUUUUUUU